rnacentral:rRNA from 1 species
UACGUAGGGUGCAAGCGUUAAUCGGAAUUACUGGGCGUAAAGCGUGCGCAGGCGGUUAUGUAAGACAGAUGUGAAAUCCCCGGGCUCAACCUGGGAACUGCAUUUGUGACUGCAUAGCUAGAGUACGGUAGAGGGGGAUGGAAUUCCGCGUGUAGCAGUGAAAUGCGUAGAUAUGCGGAGGGACACCGAUGGCGAAGGCAAUCCCCCUGGACCUGUACUGACGCUCAUGCACGAAAGCGUGGGGGAGCAAACAGG